rnacentral:lncRNA from 1 species
ACUGGGAGUGGAUGAAGGGAAGGGGCUGUGGAAAAGAGGAGGGGGGGGACGGAGCCCCCGGCGUUGCCGUGUCCCUGCCAAGGAAAACACCGGCAACUCGAUCCCUUCCCCAACCCUGUUUAUCCUGGAGGAGAAGCCGGAGGAGUUUAGGGGGCCCCCCGAACCCGGCCCGAAUCCCAUUCCCCAGCCGGAAAGAUCCCAUUCCCGAACCCGAAUCCCAUUCCUCAGCCAAAAAAACACCCCAUUCCUGAGCCCAAAUCCCGCUCCCGAGGCACAAAAACCCCAUUCCUGAGCCCAAAUCCCGCUCCCGAGGCAAAAAACCUCCAUUCCUGAGCCCGAAUCUCAUUCCCGAGCUCGAAUCCCAUUCCCGAGCCUAAAUCCCCUUCCCAGUCCAUGGCGCUGGUGCUGGGAGCCCUGUUACUGGUGCCGGUGGCCACCGCCGUCCCACCGGGGCUACCGGCCCCCCGCGAACUGGCCCGUUCGGUGCUGGAGACCCACGGGCAGGAGCUGAAGCUGCUCAAGNCCAUUCCUGAGCCCGAAUCUCAUUCCCGAGCUCGAAUCCCAUUCCCGAGCCUAAAUCCCCUUCCCAGUCCAUGGCGCUGGUGCUGGGAGCCCUGUUACUGGUGCCGGUGGCCACCGCCGUCCCACCGGGGCUACCGGCCCCCCGCGAACUGGCCCGUUCGGUGCUGGAGACCCACGGGCAGGAGCUGAAGCUGCUCAAGCUGCUGGGAGUCAGCAGGACGGUAGGAGACGGGGUUGGAGGAGGUGGGGGGGGGUGACGAUGGGAUGGGAUGGGAUGGGAUGGGAUGGGAUGGGAUGGGAUGGGAUGGGAUGGGAUGGGGGGGACAACUGGGUCCCGUCCCCCCCCCCUCCCCAUAGGUGGCUUCCCAACGUCCUUGUCCCCUCGGCAGACCUUCGACUGGGGAACCCAUUUCAGCAUCAACUUCACCGCCCGUCACCCCCCCUGCCCCAAAAACCUCCGCGGCACCGGCUGCCGAGCCCGGCCGGGCAGGGUCCAGCGGUGCGUGGCCCAGGUCUCCGUCUUCGCCUUCCUCCCCGAGGUGCCGCUGUCGAUGGUGGAGUGUGGCCGGGAGACGGUGAGGGGUCCUUGUGUCCCCCCCCCUCCAGCCCCAAUCCUUGGG